ACGAACGCUGGCGGCGUGCUUAACACAUGCCAGUCGAACGGUGAAGCUCCAGCUUGCUGGAGUGGAUCCGUGGCGAACGGGUGAGUAACACGUGAGCAACCUGCCCCAGACUCUGGAAUAAGCGCUGGAAACGGCGUCUAAUACUGGAUACGAGAUCAAGCCGCAUGGUUAUGGUCUGGAAAGUUUUUCGGUUUGGGAUGGGCUCGCGGCCUAUCAGCUUGUUGGUGAGGUAAUGGCUCACCAAGGCGACGACGGGUAGCCGGCCUGAGAGGGCGACCGGCCACACUGGGACUGAGACACGGCCCAGACUCCUACGGGAGGCAGCAGUGGGGAAUAUUGCACAAUGGGCGAAAGCCUGAUGCAGCGACGCCGCGUGAGGGAUGACGGCCUUCGGGUUGUAAACCUCUUUCAGCAGGGAAGAAGUGAAAGUGACGGUACCUGCAGAAGAAGCACCGGCUAACUACGUG
rnacentral:rRNA from 1 species